rnacentral:rRNA from 1 species
UACGAAGGGAGCUAGCGUUGUUCGGAAUCACUGGGCGUAAAGCGCAUGUAGGUGGCCAUUCAAGCCAAGGGUGAAAUCCCAGAGCUCAACUCUGGAACUGCCUUUGGAACUGUAUGGCUGGAGUCUUGGAGGGGAUAGCGGAAUUCCUAGUGUAGAGGUGAAAUUCGUAGAUAUUAGGAGGAACACCGGCGGCGAAGGCGGCUAUCUGGACAAGUACUGACACUGAGAUGCGAAAGCGUGGGGAGCAAACAGG